UGGCUGAGCGGUAAAGUGCUUGGCUUCCAAACCAGAGUUCUUGGGUUCGAAUCCUAG
rfam:Biomphalaria glabrata isolate BB02 unplaced genomic scaffold LGTN_random_Scaffold7693, whole genome shotgun sequence.